rnacentral:rRNA from 1 species
UACGUAGGGUGCAAGCGUUGUCCGGAAUUAUUGGGCGUAAAGAGCUCGUAGGCGGUCUGUCACGUCGGCUGUGAAAACCCGGAGCUCAACUCCGGGCCUGCAGUCGAUACGGGCGGACUCGAGUUCGGCAGGGGAGACUGGAAUUCCUGGUGUAGCGGUGAAAUGCGCAGAUAAUCAGGAGGAACACCGGUGGCGAAAGGGCGGGGUCUC